GCUCCGGUGGCCUAUUGGUUAGAUUGGUUAGAGCGUCCGCCUCGGAUGCGGGAGGUCGUGGGUUCGAUCCCCGGUCGAGUCA